rnacentral:lncRNA from 1 species
CAAAAUUUCAAGAAUACUUACCUACCACAGUCCGAGCAAGGAUUACGGAACCCAAAACAUAGUGAUUGAACGAUAGUUUAGCGAACAUAAAUCAAAGAAAGAAGAAAUAAAAAAGAAACAUUUGGAAAAGGAAUUUGGAGAAGAAAUGUCAAAAGGUACUUGGGAAGAGAGUGAAAUAAAAAGAAAAAAUAAGAUAAAAAUAAAAUUGAUUAAUUUGGACACAAUCCCACUACAUCCACUAACAGCCCAACCAACUUAGAAUUUCAAGACCAUCCAAACUUUCUCAGCCAACCGAAACAAAAAUUAUCACCCUCGCUUGCACAGGAUUCGAACACAAAACCUCUAGCAAGCUAACUCCUUA